rnacentral:lncRNA from 1 species
ACGAUAACAAAAGAAAAAUUCUUCUUCAACAAACUUCACUUUCAUUUUAAAGAAAAAUCAAAGAAAAUGUUUAACAAAAGCACCGCUUUUGUGAAUCAUGAACAACAUCAAAGCAUAAUCAACAAUUAAAGGAAAAUGUUAUCGGACGAGUUUCGUAACAACAACGAUGGUGGGUUUGAAGCUUUGAUGGUCGCGGAACGCAUAAUGAGGGCAGGUGGCUGUGUGGUGCAGAUCCGACGCGGUGUUUUUUGCGGAUUGGUUGUUUUUACUCUGGUUUCAAAGUUCUUGUGUCUUGUUGUUGGUUUGAUUAUAUUUUUAUGGUGUUGAUGCCAUUGUUGUUGUUGAUGGUGUUUUUUGUUGAUGCUAUUGUUGAUGAUGUUUGUUGAUGAUGAUAUUGUUGAUGCUAUUAGUGAUGAUGUUAUUGCUGAUGAUGUUUGUUGAUUAUUUUAUGUCUUGAUAGAUGAUCCGUCUUCAUCUAGUAAUGAUGAAGCUACAUAUACAAAUGAAACAAGUUCAAACGAUUCUCAAUAUGUAGUAGGACAAAAAAAAU